rnacentral:rRNA from 1 species
UGGGGAAUAUUGCACAAUGGGCGCAAGCCUGAUGCAGCAACGCCGCGUGAAGGAUGAAGGCCUUCGGGUUGUAAACUUCUGUCCUAGGGGAAGAAACAAAUGACAUUACCCUUGGAGGAAGCCCCGGCUAACUACGUGCCACCACCCGCUGUAAUUAGUGGGGGGGGGGGUCUUUUUUCGAAUAUNUGGGCGAUAAAGAGUGCGUAGGUGGCACCUUAAGCGCAGGGUUUAAGGCAAUGGCUCAACCAUUGUUCGCCUUGCGAACUGGGGUGCUUGAGUGCAGGAGGGGAAAGUGGAAUUCCUAGUGUAGCGGUGAAAUGCGUAGAUAUUAGGAGGAACACCAGUGGCGAAGGCGACUUUCUGGACUGUUACUGACACUGAGGCACGAAAGCGUGGGGAGCAAACAGGAUUAGAUACCCUGGUAGUCCACGCCGUAAACGAUGAGCACUAGGUGUCGGGGUCGCAAGACUUCGGUGCCGCAGUUAACGCAUUAAGUGCUCCGCCUGGGGAGUACGCACGCAAGUGUA